rnacentral:rRNA from 1 species
AAUGAACGCUGGCGGCAGGCCUAAAACAUGCAAGUCGAACGCCGUAGCAAUACGGAGUGGCGCACGGGUGAGUAACACGUGGGAAUAUGCCUUUUGGUACGGAACAACUUUUGGAAACGAAAUCUAAUACCGUAUGGUCCCUUCGGGGUAAAGAUUUAUCGCCAAAAGAUUAGCCCGCGCUGGAUUAGCUAGUUGGUGAGGUAAUUGCUCACCAAGGCGACGAUCCAUAGCUGGUCUUGGAGGACGAUCAGCCACACUGGGACUGAGACACGGACCAGACUCCUACGGGAGGCAGCAGUUAGGAAUAUUGGACAAUGGGCGCAAGCCUGAUCCAGCCAUGCCGCGUGAGUGAUGAAGGCCUUCGGGUUGUAAAGCUCUUUAGCCGAUGAAUAUAAUGACUGUAGUCGGAAAAUAAGCCCCGGCUAACUUCGUGCCAGCCGCCGCCGUAACAC